GGUUGUGUGCAUCAUUCUCUUCUUGAAAAGCUUGGAGAUGAACUAUGUGAAGGAAUUAUUAUUGACAUCUUCUAUUUAUAAUGUGCAAGAUUGCAAUGUGUAAUUGGUACAUCAAUAAUAUGAAAAACCGAUGUUCAUAGUCAGACUACACUCGUCCUCUGAAGAGUUACUCUAACUUAAUUGUUAAGGAGUGAAAAUGAAAUACAAGCAACAUUAUGAGCUGGACAAGUAGAACUAUUUGAAGAUAUAUAUCGCGC